rnacentral:rRNA from 1 species
AUUGAACGCUGGCGGUAGGCCUAACACAUGCAAGUCGAGCGGAUGAAGGGAGCUUGCUCCUGGAUUCAGCGGCGGACGGGUGAGUAAUGCCUAGGAAUCUGCCUGGUAGUGGGGGAUAACGUCCGGAAACGGGCGCUAAUACCGCAUACGUCCUGAGGGAGAAAGUGGGGGAUCUUCGGACCUCACGCUAUCAGAUGAGCCUAGGUCGGAUUAGCUAGUUGGUGGGGUAAAGGCCUACCAAGGCGACGAUCCGUAACUGGUCUGAGAGGACGAUCAGUCACACUGGAACUGAGACACGGUCCAGACUCCUACGGGAGGCAGCAGUGGGGAAUAUUGGACAAUGGGCGAAAGCCUGAUCCAGCCAUGCCGCGUGUGUGAAGAAGGUCUUCGGAUUGUAAAGCACUUUAAGUUGGGAGGAAGGGCAGUAAGUUAAUACCUUGCUGUUUUGACGUUACCAACAGAAUAAGCACCGGCUAACUUCGUG